ACUCCUACGGGAGGCAGCAGUGGGGAAUAUUGCACAAUGGGCGCAAGCCUGAUGCAGCCAUGCCGCGUGUAUGAAGAAGGCCUUCGGGUUGUAAAGUACUUUCAGCGGGGAGGAAGGCAAUACGGUUAAUAACCGUGUUGAUUGACGUUACCCGCAGAAGAAGCACCGGCUAACUCCGUGCCAGCAGCCGCGGUAAUACGGAGGGUGCAAGCGUUAAUCGGAAUUACUGGGCGUAAAGCGCACGCAGGCGGUCUGUCAAGUCGGAUGUGAAAUCCCCGGGCUCAACCUGGGAACUGCAUUCGAAACUGGCAGGCUUGAGUCUUGUAGAGGGGGGUAGAAUUCCAGGUGUAGCGGUGAAAUGCGUAGAGAUCUGGAGGAAUACCGGUGGCGAAGGCGGCCCCCUGGACAAAGACUGACGCUCAGGUGCGAAAGCGUGGGGAGCAAACAGGAUUAGAAACCCGUGUAGUCCCAUGA
rnacentral:rRNA from 1 species